AACCAUUGGAAACGAUGGCUAAUACCGCAUACGCCCUAUUGGGGAAAGAUUUAUCGGUGUUGGAUUGGCCCGCGUUAGAUUAGCUAGUUGGUGGGGUAAUGGCUCACCAAGGCGACGAUUUAUAGCUGGUUUGAGAGGAUGAUCAGCAACACUGGAACUGAGACACGGUCCAGACUCCUACGGGAGGCAGCAGUCGGGAAUAUUGUGCAAUGGGGGCAACCCUGACACAGCCAUGCCGCGUGAGUGAAGAAGGCCUUAGGGUUGUAAAGCUCUUUCAGAUGUGAGGAUGAUGACGAUAGCAUCAGAAGAAGCUCCGGCUAACUUCGUGCCAGCAGCCGCAGUAAUACGAAGGGAGCUAGCGUUGUUCGGAAUUACUGGGCGUAAGGGGCGUGUAGGCGGAUUAUCAAGUUAGGGGUGAAAUCCCGGGGCUCAAACCUCGGCACUGCCUUUAAGACUGAUAAUCUAGAGUAUGUG
rnacentral:rRNA from 1 species